rnacentral:rRNA from 1 species
AGAGGGUGAUUGGAGGGGAAAUACUGCAAGUCGAGCGAACAGAGAAGGAGCUUGCUCUUUUGACGUUAGCGGCGGACGGGUGAGUAACACGUGGGCAACCUACCUUAUAGUUUGGGAUAACUCCGGGAAACCGGGGCUAAUACCGAAUAAUCUAUUUCACCUCAUGGUGAAAUACUGAAAGACGGCAUCUCGUUUUCGUUUUAGGAUGGGCCCGCGGGCUUUAGUAAGUUGGGGAGGUAACGGCUCACCAAGGCGACGAUGCGUAGCCACCCUGAGAGGGUGAUCGGCCACACUGGGACUGAGACACGGCCCAGACUCCUACGGGAGGCAGCAGUAGGGAAUCUUCCCACAAUGGGCGAAAGCUUUAUGGAGCAACCCCCGGGGGAGUAAAGAAGGUUUUCGGGAUCGAAAAAUUCUUUUGGUAAGGGAAGAACAAGGUACCGGAGUAACUGGGUGUACCUUGGCGGGACCCUUAUUAAGAAAGCCACGGCUAAACUUCGGGCCCACCAGCCCGGGGAAAUACGAGGGUGGCAAAGCGUUGUCCGGGAAUUAUUUGGGCGUAAAGGGGGGCGCAGGGGGUCCUUUUAAGUCUUGAGGGGAAAGCCCCACGGGUUCAACCCUGGGAGGGGCCAUUGGGAAACUUGGGGGAAUUUGAAGUGCCGGAAGGAGGAAAAGUGGAAAUUUCCAAGGUGGUAGCGGGUGAAAAUGGCGUAAGAGGAUUUGGGAAGAACCACCAGUGGCGAAGGCGGACUUUUCUGUCUUGUAACUGAACGCCUGAGGCGCGAAACGUGGGAGCCAAACAGAAUUAGAUACCUUGUAGUCACGCGUAACGAUGGAGUGCUAAGUGUAGAGAUUUCGGCCUAGGGUUGCAGCUAACGCAUAAGACUUCGCUUGGCGAUACCGUCGCAGACUUGAACUCAUAG